rnacentral:rRNA from 1 species
AGGACAAACGCUGGCGGCGUGCUUAACACACGCAAGUCGAGCGGAAAGGCCUUUCGGGGUACUCGAGCGGCGAACGGGUGAGUAACACGUGAGUAAUCUGCCCAUCGCUUCAGGAUAGCCAUCGGAAACGGUGAUUAAUACUGGAUAUGACAUUCCUUCGCAUGUUGGGGUGUGGAAAGUUUUUUCGGCGGUGGAUGUGCUCGCGGCCUAUCAGCUUGUUGGUGGGGUAAUGGCCUACCAAGGCUUUGACGGGUAGCCGGCCUGAGAGGGUGACCGGCCACACUGGGACUGAGACACGGCCCAGACUCCUACGGGAGGCAGCAGUGGGGAAUAUUGGACAAUGGGCGAAGCCUGAUCCAG